UACGUAGGGUGCGAGCGUUGCCCGGAUUUAUUGGGCGUAAAGGGCGCGUAGGCGGGUCGUUAAGUUGGGGGUGAAAGCCCAGGGCUCAACCCUGGAAUUGUCUUCAAUACUGGCGACCUUGAGUAUGGCAGAGGUGUGUGGAACUCCGAGUGUAGAGGUGAAAUUCGUAGAUAUUCGCAAGAACACCAGUGGCGAAGGCGGCUCACUGGCCCGGUACUGACGCUGAGGUGCGAAAGCGUGGGGAGCAAACAGG
rnacentral:rRNA from 1 species